rnacentral:misc_RNA from 1 species
AGAUAAUUUAAAUUUCUUUUAACCACUUGAUAAAUCAAACCUUUGCCUUUUAUCAUGGAUAUGACGAAUCAUCACCACCACCAUCAUGGCUCAAUGAAGGAAAAUUCAGAUAUGAAAAUGACUACCACUACCAUGGACAUGGGUGGAAUGGACAUGGGUGGCUCUACCAUGGACAUGGGUGGAAUGGACAUGGGUGGAAUGAUGAUGUACUUCCAUGGAGGCUGCAAUGAAGUUAUCCUCUUUGACUUCUGGCGCAUCUCGGAAGUGUGGGAGCUUUUGCUCUCUAUGCUCGGCAUUUUCAUCUUGGCCUUCUUAUAUGAAGCUCUUAAAUACUGCAGAGAGUACCUUUUCCGGAAAGCUGUGCAGCGCGUCAGUUACUCCACCACAAGCAGCAACAACAUCACUCUCACUGAAGAUCAGCAGCAGCAGCAGCCUGUCAGAUGCUACGAGAAUUUCAUUAUACCUUCAACCAUGAAGAUGAUGAGCUCGGCCCACGCGAUACAGACGUGCCUGCACAUGGUGCAGUUCCUCGUGUCCUACCUCCUCAUGCUGGUCUUUAUGACGUACAACGCGUGGCUGUGUCUCGCUGUACUCCUCGGCGCCGGCGUCGGCUACUUCGUCUUCGGCUGGAGGAAAGCCCUGGUCGUCGAACUCACCGAACACUGCCACUAACACUAGGCCGCUUUAGCUACACAAUUCCUAACUCCUAUCAGCACGGCCGAAGUGCGAGGAAGCACCUCUAUCUUGUCACCCUCUGUUAAAUAUCUUAUAAUUUGCAUCAUGAGACCAUUGAUCAUAGUGUGCAUUAUAGCCGUGAGCUUUGAGUGUAUGAACGUAUUGAAUGGCACCUUUUAGAUAACUGUGAUAUUAUUUCUCCUAUGUAAACCGGGCUCGACACGAUAACAAAAUUCCUUCUAGAGUACCGUUUCUCAAGCAAAAAAUGUUGCUCUCAAGCCUGAAGUAACAUUCCGAAUUGCUGCAAUAAUUCCAAGUACGAGUACUUUUUGGCUAUACUAGUUUAACCUCCUCACUCAUUUGAGAAUUGGACAAGAAAUUUGCACCAAGCUCUCUUUCAGAAUGCUUGAAUUAUUUUGCGAAAAUUCUGCUGUGUAAUUACGAAAAACCAUCAUGUUUUAGUCAGUGUUGUAAACUUGUUACUCUUCACUCGAUUGAUGUUGUGACUGAGGGUGAGAUUUUUCGUUUCAAAAGACAAAUCUUUCUAUUCUAAUGUUGGGUUUGCAUUUAAUUGUGUUACCUUUGCACAAUAGCACGACUACUAUGACAUGCACACAAUUCCGGUUACUGGACUUCUCCGGGAUUACAAUUCUAUACGAUAAGUUGCAAGCAAUGGCAUUUAUUAGAAUGUGGCAGCCUUAGUCCUUAGUGCGCCCCGGGCUGUGGCA